rnacentral:rRNA from 1 species
GAUGAACGCUGGCGGCGUGCUUAACACAUGCAAGUCGAACGAUGAAGCUCAGCUUGCUGGGUGGAUUAGUGGCGAACGGGUGAGUAACACGUGAGUAACCUGCCCUUAACUCUGGGAUAAGCCUGGGAAACUAGGUCUAAUACCGGAUAGGAGCGCCUACCGCAUGGUGGGUGUUGGAAAGAUUUAUCGGUUUUGGAUGGACUCGCGGCCUAUCAGCUUGUUGGUGAGGUAAUGGCUCACCAAGGCGACGACGGGUAGCCGGCCUGAGAGGGUGACCGGCCACACUGGGACUGAGACACGGCCCAGACUCCUACGGGAGGCAGCAGUGGGGAAUAUUGCACAAUGGGCGAAAGCCUGAUGCAGCGACGCCGCGUGAGGGAUGACGGCCUUCGGGUUGUAAACCUCUUUCAGUAGGGAAGAAGCGAAAGUGACGGUACCUGCAGAAGAAGCACCGGCUAACCACGUG